AAUUAGAUUCAAGGUUUUUAAGUUUUGUUAUCACUUCUUACUAUUAAAAAUAACAAAUGAUGAGAUAUGUUAUGCUACUGUGAAUUAAAUGUACUUUUUAAGACUUAAACUCUUAACUUCUUAUUUCAGUAGACGACGUCACAUGAUUAGAAUAUUCUUUUAU
rnacentral:pre_miRNA from 1 species